CGGGUGAGUAACGCGUGAGGAACCUGCCUUGAAGAGGGGGACAACAGUUGGAAACGACUGCUAAUACCGCAUGACGCAUAGAGGUCGCAUGAUCUUUAUGCCAAAGAUUUAUCGCUUCAAGAUGGCCUCGCGUCUGAUUAGCUAGUUGGCGGGGUAACGGCCCACCAAGGCGACGAUCGGUAGCCGGACUGGGAGGUUGAACGGCCACAUUGGGACUGAGACACGGUCCAA
rnacentral:rRNA from 1 species